UACGUAGGGGGCAAGCGUUGUCCGGAAUUAUUGGGCGUAAAGCGCGUGUAGGCGGCCCGGUAAGUCCGCUGUGAAAGUCCAGGGCUCAACCCUGGGAUGCCGGUGGAUACUGUCGGGCUCGAGUCCGGAAGAGGCGAGUGGAAUUCCUGGUGUAGCGGUGAAAUGCGCAGAUAUCAGGAGGAACACCAAUGGCGAAGGCAGCUCGCUGGGACGUGACUGACGCUGAGACGCGAAAGCGUGGGGAGCAAACAGG
rnacentral:rRNA from 1 species